rnacentral:rRNA from 1 species
UACGAGGGGGGCAAGCGUUGUUCGGAAUUACUGGGCGUAAAGAGUGUGUAGGCGGUGCUCUAAGUUCGGUGUGAAAUCUCCCGGCUCAACUGGGAGGGUGCGCCGGAAACUGGAGUGCUGGAGCGCGGGAGAGGAAAGCGGAAUUCCUGGUGUAGCGGUGAAAUGCGUAGAUAUCAGGAGGAACACCGGCGGUGUAGACGGCUUUCUGGACCGUAGCUGACGCUGAGACACGAAAGCGUGGGUAGCAAACAGG